rnacentral:rRNA from 1 species
CCUACGGGCGGCAGCAGUGGGGAAUAUUGCACAAUGGGGGAAACCCUGAUGCAGCGACGCCGCGUGAGUGAAGAAGUAUUUCGGUAUGUAAAGCUCUAUCAGCAGGGAAGAAGAAAACCGGUACCUACUUAAGAAGCCCCGGCUAACUACGUCCCAGCAGCCGCGGUAAUACGGCGGGGGCAAGCGUUAUCUGGUUUUCCUGGGUGGAAAGGGAGCGUAGACGGCUGUGCAAGGCAGAAGUGAAAGCCCAGGGCUCAACCCCGGGACUGCUUUGGAACUUGUGGAGCUAGAGUGCCGGAGAGGUAAGUGGAAGUCCUAGUGUAGCGGUGAAAUGCGUAGAUAUUAGGAGGAACACCAGUGGCGAAGGCGGCUUGCUGGACAGUAACUGACGUUGAGGCUCGAAAGCGUGGGGAGCAAACAGGAUUAGAUACCCCAGUAGUC